rnacentral:rRNA from 1 species
GAUGAACGCUGACAGAAUGCUUAACACAUGCAAGUCAACUUGAAUUUGGGUUUUUAACUUAGAUUUGGGUGGCGGACGGGUGAGUAACGCGUAAAGAACUUGCCUCACAGCUAGGGACAACAUUUAGAAAUGAAUGCUAAUACCUGAUAUUAUGAUUUUAAGGCAUCUUAGAAUUAUGAAAGCUAUAAGCACUGUAAGAGAGCUUUGCGUCCCAUUAGCUAGUUGGAGAGGUAACAGCUCACCAAGGCGAUGAUGGGUAGCCGGCCUGAGAGGGUGAACGGCCACAAGGGGACUGAGACACGGCCCUUACUCCUACGGGAGGCAGCAGUGGGGAAUAUUGGACAAUGGACCGAGAGUCUGAUCCAGCAAUUCUGUGUGCACGAUGAAGUUUUUCGGAAUGUAAAGUGCUUUCAGUUGGGAAGAAAUAAAUGACGGUACCAACAGAAGAAGUGACGGCUAAAUACGUGCCAGCAGCCGCGGUAAUACGUAUGUCACGAGCGUUAUCCGGAUUUAUUGGGCGUAAAGCGCGUCUAGGUGGUUACGUAAGUCUGAUGUGAAAAUGCAGGGCUCAACUCUGUAUUGCGUUGGAAACUGUAUAACUAGAGUACUGGAGAGGUAAGCGGAACUACAAGUGUAGAGGUGAAAUUCGUAGAUAUUUGUAGGAAUGCCGAUGGGGAAGCCAGCUUACUGGACAGAUACUGACGCUAAAGCGCGAAAGCGUGGGUAGCAAACAGG